AUUGAACGCUGGCGGCAGGCCUAACACAUGCAAGUCGAACGGUAACAGGAAGCAGCUUGCUGCUUUGCUGACGAGUGGCGGACGGGUGAGUAAUGUCUGGGAAACUGCCAGAUGGAGGGGGAUAACUACUGGAAACGGUAGCUAAUACCGCAUAACGUCGCAAGACCAAAGAGGGGGACCUUAGGGCCUCUUGCCAUCGGAUGUGCCCAGAUGGGAUUAGCUAGUAGGUGGGGUAACGGCUCACCUAGGCGACGAUCCCUAGCUGGUCUGAGAGGAUGACCAGCCACACUGGAACUGAGACACGGUCCAGACUCCUACGGGAGGCAGCAGUGGGGAAUAUUGCACAAUGGGCGCAAGCCUGAUGCAGCCAUGCCGCGUGUAUGAAGAAGGCCUUCGGGUUGUAAAGUACUUUCAGCGGGGAGGAAGGGAGUAAAGUUAAUACCUUUGCUCAUUGACGUUACCCGCAGAAGAAGCACCGGCUAACUCCGUG
rnacentral:rRNA from 1 species